AUACAUAGGGGGCGAGCGUUGUCCGGAAUUACUGGGCGUAAAGGGUUCGCAGGCGGUCUAGCAAGUCUGGUGUAAAAGGCAAGGGCUCAACCCUUGUAAGCAUUGGAAACUGUUGGACUUGAGUAAAGGAGAGGUAAGUGGAAUUCCUAGUGUAGCGGUGGAAUGCGUGGAUAUUAGGAGGAAUACCAGUGGCGAAGGCGACUUACUGGACUUUAACUGACGCUGAGGAACGAAAGCGUGGGAAGCAAACAGGAUUAGAUACCCUGGUAGUCCACGCCGUAAACGAUGAGUGCUAGGUGUCGGGUGUCAAAGCUCGGUGCCGGCGUUAACACAAUAAGCACUCCGCCUGGGGAGUACGUGCGCAAGCAUGAAACUCAAAUGAAUUGACGGGG
rnacentral:rRNA from 1 species